AAAGCAAGCGGAUGUUCCCAUAUCUAUCUCAACCUACAUCUCUGCUGCUCUUGGUUUCUGAAAAUUAUCUCUCAGCGGCAGAGUAGCUAAUGUCUGAGCGUUACCGUCAUCUUUUUUUUUAUUUUUUAUCUUUACGUGCAUGCUGCAACAUUUAAAAAGAAAAUAUCCCGACACGAAAGGAAUUGGAAACGACAGGAUCGCACCAGACCAGCAGCAAGAAUACCAGUGACAGAGACAGACGUGACCAGCUCAACCAGCCGGGCACCAGGAAGACACAGAAUGAGAUUCAGCCACUUCACUCUAACCAGGCAGCUCCAGGCAGGCUGGUGUCAAGGGCCAGGAGGGGACGCUCACGGAACCCUGCGUCGCUUCCUCCUGAUGAAGGUUGUGAUCGUACUGCUGUUCCCUUCUGGUGCGGUGCUCCCCCUGCUUGUAGGGUGCGUGUUCAGCCUGCAGGCUCUCCUGCUGCUCCGUUCCCCUCACACCUCCACCAAGCCCAGCACUGUCCUGCUGAGACAGCUGGCUCUCACUGAUGCUCUGGUGCUGCUGUGCUGGGGACUGGGGCUAGGCAUGCAGGUCGGCCUGUGGAUGGAGUUGGGCUUGGGAACGGAGGUGGGCCUGGGGACGCAGGUGGGCCUGGUGGCAGAGGGGGACCAAGCGAAGGAGGUGGGUCUGGAAGUGGAGGUGGGCCUGGGGACGCAGGUGGGCUUUGUGGUGCAGCUUGAAAUGCUGUGUCAAGGAUUCCUGGAUGCCCACCACCUGGCUUCUCUUUUACUGUUGGGAAUGCUGGGGCUAGAGGCCUCUCUGGUCUCCCACUGGCCUCUGCAGACACGUUGGGUGCGGACCUCUUAUUUUGCCCGACUCGCCUGCACCUUUAUCUGGGUGUUUGCUCUACUGGAGCCCCUGGCUCUGCAGGCCUGUUGGCUCUACCAGGCCCUGGGGAGUCAUGCUGGCCUUCAAUCUCUCCCAGACUCUGACACUGGUUCGCUGGGUACGGCUGCAGGCCUCCAGGCCUGUACUGUUUUGGUUCUACCUUUCCACACUGCCUUGACCUGUCUGAGGGUGGUGCUGUGGUUGGCUAAUGCUAGGCUUCACUAUGAUGUCCUCUACAACAAACCACAAAGAAGAAAGAGCUUCUUCCAUUAGAAGCCCAAUCUGGGGUUUCCUUCUAAACAGCCCUCGAGUCAUUCCUCCCACAAUCUAGGAGAUCCGUGUGGACCGGAUAUGUUGAAGUCAUGCUGGGGUUGCCAAAUUGCUUAGUCUGGUCAAAUCCACUUGGAUCUCUACAUGUGCAAUGGAACACUAAAUCAGUUUUAUGUGUCAAGUGUUUGGUAAGACUUUUUGACCUCUUGGAUGUUUUAGGUCAUAAAUUGAAUGUUACUAUCAAGUUAUUUAAAAGUAAUUUAUUACCAACUAAUUAUAUAUUUUAAGCAAGUCUGACAAAAAUUCAAAUAACUUUAUUAUUUGUUACUUUUCUUCUUAUUUGAUGACAUGUUGCUUUAGUGGUAUUAGAAUAUGAGUGUGUGUUUGUUGCAUGACAAAAGGGCUUGGACUGGAUGUGGUUAGUAUAAACGCUAUGAUAAAAAUGUAUAAUAAUAAUGGUCUUUAUUGAGAAUACUGGGAGAAUCAAACGUACAUAAUGAGGUUAUACUUGUUAAAGGUUAAGGAUUCCAACAGAGAUACCUUCUUCCAAGAAGAACAUGACUGGAAAUAUACACUGUAACCUUAAUUUCUUCUAGUGGAACAAACAGUCUCCAGGACAUUAUGAUAAGAAUGUGAGAACUACUGUAACAUUUUGUCUUACAGCACACAAUUGAUGGUAAUCUCAAUCACUUUGUAUGAGAACUGAAUGUUAGAGAAAGUCCAGGCAUUUGUUAUGUGCCAUACUCUUUGUCUUUAGCUCCUCAUGAGAUUAUGAACUUUUAAUGACCUUAAAAACAUUUCCUUAGUUGACAUUUUCAAACGUUUGUUACAUAGCUUCUCUGAAAUUAUCUAAAAAGAUUGUAAUCUUCUCUCUAAACAACAGUACAUUCCUGACUGAUCUUUUCUGUUUCAUCCUACUCUCAUAUAUUUCGAUCUAGGAGACCCGGCCACCCCUGCAGGAACUAUGUUGUGUAAAUGAGGUUAAAAGCGACACGUACGCACACAAACACACCCAUGUUGCACGCACAAACACAGUGAGGCAUGCAGGCAGUCAAACAUGCACACACGCAAACAAUUACACUAACACAGGCACAAAACCCUGCACGUACUGCACACACAUGUAUGCACAGCAGAGGCACCCAUGCAUAAGAACCACAAUAGUACCACUUAGAGUGAGAAAACAUGAAAGGGUUAAAAAGUUGUAAAGGAGUCAUUAGGUGUUAUGCCUACAGUUAUGGAAUACAGUUUUUUUACAAUCGCUUUGAUACAAAUUUCAAAACAGAGAUGUCCGUUUUCAAAACUCUAGACACAAAACAAAACUCACAACUGAUGAUCAAAAUGCAAAUUUUUCAAAACGCUAACACGAUUUUCAAUUGCUUGGAUACAAUACACAUACACCUUGGAUCAUUUGUUAAUUGAGCUAUAAUCAUCUGUUCAAAAUGACACAACUUAACAUCAAAGUAUCACCAUUUUAAAAAUGCAAUUCACACAUAACAUCUGAAAUGUCUGUCAUUUCCUUACAUUACAAUGAUCUGUCAAUUGAUACUACUGCUCAAAAUGAAAGUAACUGUUGCAUUAUUCUUCUUAAUGCAUAGUUUUAUAGAAACUGACAAACAAUAUUCAAAGUUUAGAGAAUGAAAGUUUCAGUAUAACGAGAUCCAUUGACACCAUGCUCAAUAGGUGCAAGCAUGGUUCAGGCAGGAGGACUCAGUAGUAAUAAUUUACUUGAUGCUUUAUUUCACACGGUACAAUACAUGAUUGUAAUACUUGAAUUUGGCAUAAUGGUUCUGCUCGCAGUGGCUCCCUGCCGCACCCAACCGAGACAACGUCUCGACAUCCGAGGCAGAGAGCAACGACGCAUUCCCACCUACGAAAUGAACACACGGAUCAAGGGUGGAAGCCAGGGAGCCGGAGGCAGCAGAUUAAACAGAGCAUCGUGUGUCACACUAAGCAAUGCAGAGUGCAGCAAUAUCCUGAUUAAAUAGCCUGCCCUACUAAAAAUGUGCGUCCCGACUGUGUGAUAUGAUGAGUUGCUAGUGACACGCUAUGUCCCGCGUACCCUGCAUGAACCAGCUCCACUUGAUCUCCGGCCCAUCCACAAUUUGCGGCUUUGUACUUGAUUUUUCUCCACAUGGAGGUGGAAGGUGUACGAUAGGCACCCUCAUGAACAAGUAACCCUUUUCCAUGCCAUGGAUGAGGCAUGCAAUUACAUCAUGGCACAUCAGUGUCAGGCCAGGAUUCACCAUGCCCAGAGAUUCUUUCAGAGAUGUUUGUCAAAUGAAAACUACCAUUGCGAUGUGGAUGAAAGUUGUGGCCAAAUCCUCAAAACAGGGUUGAUGGAAAUGUAGGACAGUAAUCAAUCCUUUGUUUUGCUUGUUUUUUGAGCCAGGUGAGGAACACUGCAGUACAUGUUCUGCGUACUGUAACAUAGUUUUCUUUUGUAGCUAAUUACAGUAACUUUAACUUCUCAUUUGACAAGAAAUACGGAAUAAUGCCCAUUCAGUACACUACCACAACUCAGUUUACUACAACUCCUUUUCUUAUAGUCUUUUUUGACGCAAAACUAUUUUACAACUGUUCACAUGUGGAUCAGUCUACUCAGCUGGCUCUCACACUGUGGAUUAAGAAGAGCUGUGACCACAGACAACGCCGGUAGAGAAGGUCUUACAGUAAUAUAGUCAUUAGUUAAACAAGGUUAGAAGUGGUGAGGAAAUGAGAGGAAAUGACCUGAAUUCUUGUCUUCCUGUCAUCCUCCAGACACACAUCAGUCGUUUGGGUUGGAGAAGAGUAAUGACUGCUCACACAUACGUGUGUGCACACACAUACGCGCACACACACUUCUAUACACAUCAGUAUGCAAACUUGCAUACACACACACUCAAGUCAUUUGGAAUCAGAGGCUUUGAAAAAAAUGAAUGACACAAUCAUUUUUCUGGUGGAAUCCCAUGGAAAAAUUAACACACACUUGAGAGGAAAUGACCAAAACAGCAUCAGGCUUGAAUCAUCUGGUUAUUACUGUACUAAAUGGUUUUACCCUCAUGAACAAGUUACCCUUCUCCAGGCCAUGGAUGAGGCAUGCAAUGACAUCAUGGCACACCAGUAUCAGGCCUAGACUCGCCAUGCACAGAGAUUCUUUCUGAGAUGUUUGUCACAUGAAAACAUUGAUUGCGAUGUGAAUGAAAACUUGUCAAAAUCUAUCCUUUGUUUUGCUUAGUUUGUUUGUUUUUGUUGAGCCAGCUAGAAUCGAGGUCUGCCUUACAGACACCUCCGCCUGGAUAACCAAGCACCUCCAGCUGAACCUUGCCAAAACAAAACUUCUCAUCAUCCCAGCCAUACCCUCCAUCUCCCACAAUCUCUCAUUCACCCGGGAUCUGCAACGUUGACUCCUUCAUCAUCUGCCAGGAACCUCGGGGUUACCAUGGAUGACAGGCUCACCCUCACGGCCCACAUUCCUGAA